CAUCAGUUGCUGUUAUAUUGCUGGUGUAAUUUAAUGCACUGUAUGUUUUCUGACAUAAUAAACAACACAUGCUAUCUAUGUAGAUAAUGUGCUUCUAUCAGCUUUACGCUGUGUAAAGAAAAUAAUAAAUGCCAUCACCAGGUUAAACUCCCUUAACAUGUUAUCUCAGAAUUAAUUAAUGUGUAUAAUAUUUAUAGUUUCCUGAGGAGUCUAAUACACAGUUAUUUAUUAUUUGUGGACGGAAGAGUCGCAUUUUCAGUCACGAUGACUAUACAUGGCCUUCUCAAAUCCCAAGGGGGUAAUCACUACAUUUCCCAGUGAUGCUUGCUUGGCUAAGCAGUUUUAAUACACAAAUCAAUUUUGCAUUACCCCCUUCUGGCUGUGAGUGCUCAUAGUGUGAGAGCCAUGAAAAAUUGAUGGGCCUUAGCAUGCAGAUUGCAACCCUAGUGUAUCUUAAAUUUGUCCGGGGCCUUUUCUUUCUUUCUUUUCUUUUUUUUUUACCCAGACAGUGUCAAAGGGGUGGGGUGGCUGUUUGUUUUGCUGCUUUUUCUUUUCUUUUUCUUUUUUAUACUUAAGUUGAAAAGAGAGACAGCUGCUCCAGCGGAGAAACAAUGUUGAUAGGCACAGUGUGAGAAAGUAUGAUGUGUGAGGGGAUGUGGAGAAAACAGAGACUCAGAAACAUUCCAGUAACCCAAGAUGACAUUCACACAGGACCCAGACAAUAUUCCUCCCACUUCUCUAUUCUAAAAUAUCAUAAAUAUAAUGCCCAACAUCUCAUCGAGCAUUUGUUUUUGCCACGGCGAUUAGGUUGUGUCAUUUGGUGAGCCGCUCUGUAUUUGACCAGCUGAUGACUUGACUGCUGAAAGAAAUUAUAGCUUCCAUAAUUAGCUUUCGCUAUGAAAUGAAGCUAUCAUAGGAGAGAAUGAGGAAAUUUCACACCUUGUAAAUUAGAUUUUGCAAGGUGCUGUGUCGAUGUCCUUGAGUAUAGACACAUCAAAAAGCCUUUUUUGUUCAGUCCUUUCUUUGACAAAUGCAGACAAAAAUCUGCAAUGAACUGCAAAUUGAACAGCAAAGAGCCACUUUGAGGAUCUAACAGCUAAAUUUGUUCAUGUGAUGAUUUCUUUC
ensembl:lncRNA